rnacentral:piRNA from 1 species
GAGAUAACAAAAGGGGUGCUAA